GCCACUAUAGCUCAGUCGGUAGAGCAACGCAUUCGUAACGCGUAGGUCUCGAGUUCGAGUCUCGAUAGUGGCU
rnacentral:tRNA from 1 species